GACGAACGCUGGCGGCGUGCUUAACACAUGCAAGUCGAACGGAGUGGCGAACGGGUGAGUAACACGGGGGUGAUUUGCCUUGCACUUCGGGAUAAGCUUGGGAAACUUGGUCUAAUACCGGAAUGUGCACGAUGAGCUCGCGGCCAAUCAGCUUGUUGGUGGGGUAAUGGCUUACCAAGGUGUCGACGGGUAGCCGGCCUGAGAGUGUGUACGGCCACAUUGGGACUGAGAUACGGCCCAGACGCCUACGGGAGGCAGCGGUGGGGAAUAUUGCACAAUGGGCGGAAGCCUGAUGCAGCGACGCCGGGUGGGGGAUGAAGGCCUUCGGGUUGUAAACUCCUUGCGACAGGGACGCGGUACCUGUAUAAGAAGCACCGGCUAACUACGUGCCAGCAGCCGCGGUAAUAC
rnacentral:rRNA from 1 species